rnacentral:rRNA from 1 species
GAUGAACGCUGGCGGCGUGCCUAAUACAUGCAAGUCGAGCGAACGGACGAGAAGCUUGCUUUUCUGAUGUUAGCGGCGGACGGGUGAGUAACACGUGGAUAACCUACCUAUAAGACUGGGAUAACUUCGGGAAACCGGAGCUAAUACCGGAUAAUAUUUUGAACCGCAUGGUUCAAAAGUGAAAGACGGUCUUGCUGUCACUUAUAGAUGGAUCCGCGCUGCAUUAGCUAGUUGGUAAGGUAACGGCUUACCAAGGCAACGAUGCAUAGCCGACCUGAGAGGGUUAUCGGCCACACUGGAACUGAGACACGGUCCAGACUCCUACGGGAGGCAGCAGUAGGGAAUCUUCCGCAAUGGGCGAAAGCCUGACGGAGCAACGCCGCGUGAGUGAUGAAGGUCUUCGGAUCGUAAAACUCUGUUAUUAGGGAAGAACAUAUGUGUAAGUAACUGUGCACAUCUUGACGGUACCUAAUCAGAAAGCCACGGCUAACUACGUG